UACGUAGGGGGCAAGCGUUAUCCGGAUUUACUGGGUGUAAAGGGAGCGUAGACGGACUUGCAAGUCUGAUGUGAAAAUCCGGGGCCCAACCCCGGAACUGCAUUGGAAACUGUAUAUCUAGAGUGUCGGAGAGGCAAGUGGGAUUCCUGGUGUAGCGGUGAAAUGCGUAGAUAUCAGGAGGAACACCAGUGGCGAAGGCGGCUUGCUGGACGAUGACUGACGUUGAGGCUCGAAAGCGUGGGGAGCAAACAGG
rnacentral:rRNA from 1 species